rnacentral:rRNA from 1 species
UACAGAGGUCUCAAGCGUUGUUCGGAUUCAUUGGGCGUAAAGGGUGCGUAGGUGGCGUGGUAAGUCGGAUCGUGAAAUCCCGGGGCUCAACCCCGGAACUGCAUUCGAUACUGCCUUGCUAGAGUACGUGGAGAGGAGAUUGGAAUUACGGUGUAGCAGUGAAAUGCGUAGAUAUCGUAAGGAAGACCAGUGGACGAAGGCGGAGUCUCUGGACAGUUACUGACG